rnacentral:lncRNA from 1 species
ACCGCGGUUGGGCAUAAAGUCAAAAUGAGGAAGGGUGUUUGUCGAGGACAGAUAGUGGGGUCUGAUGAUGAGAGGUGGCGCCGUAGGCACACCUAUAGGUGAAACCCUAUAGGAAAUGAAAUGGGUUGGUAAGGACUUGCGGAGAAAGGAGAGCUUCUUUUCUGAAUCUGCAAAGGGAUGAACCGAGCGGACAGAAAGCAGAGCUCUGGAACCCGGCGGUUGACAGAAUGAACCCGUUUUCACCCAACUCCCCACAGAGGAGGUGUGUCCAUGCAAUCUGGAGGGACAAGACAAGGCAUUUUAGGGGAAGGUUCAUAGAAAAUAGAAGCCAUCGGUGAAUGCUAGUUCUUCUGCAAAGGGGCGUUUCAAGGAUUCCCCAUUCGCCACCAAAAUGGGUUAAAUAAUUCCUUUACGGAAUUGGAGGAACCAGAACAUGGAAACCCCACACCUUGGUAAGAGAGGACUAUACCCUGUGCCCAGAAGGGUCUGAACACCAGCAGCGCUAAAUGCUGUAUCGCCCACAUUGCUGGGUGAUUUGGUGAAGAGCCCACUGUUGGCAGUGGGUCAUGAGCUUCAGUCCACCUGCAUUUUAUCAGUUCAUCUUCAAGAUUAAAUAGGUUGACAAGUUCAUAAUGCUUUAGACCCCUGUCUGCUUUUCUUAGUGGUCCCUUGUCCCAGUGGUCACUGGGCUACAUGAGAACACCAUGGUGAUCCAGGGAACGAAGGGCUAAGUCUUGACGUUUCAGCCUCAACGCGUGGUCGGCUGGGUUCCCACAGCACCAGGAGCACCUGGACCUGCAUCAGAGCUCCCCUCUCAUACAGAGAGGAGCAUCUCAAGAGGACCAUCACGUUUGCUUCUCUGAAAGCUGCAGUCCCAGAUAUGACUUGGGCAUACUGCUGUCAUGGCCUUGGGGACUCAGGCUGAGCAGCAUGAGAAACAUCAGUGGCACCGGGGAUGAGAGCUGAGUAGUGGAAUUAAUAAAGGCAAAGAGGGUCUGACA